rnacentral:ncRNA from 1 species
CUGCCCCGGCGCACCCCCCCCGAUGCCGGGUUACAGAUGGCCCGCGCACACCCCCCCGAGGCGCGGGCCAUCACCU